GACGAACGCUGGCGGCGUGCCUAAUACAUGCAAGUCGAACGAACUCUGGUAUUGAUUGGUGCUUGCAUCAUGAUUUACAUUUGAGUGAGUGGCGAACUGGUGAGUAACACGUGGGAAACCUGCCCAGAAGCGGGGGAUAACACCUGGAAACAGAUGCUAAUACCGCAUAACAACUUGGACCGCAUGGUCCGAGUUUGAAAGAUGGCUUCGGCUAUCACUUUUGGAUGGUCCCGCGGCGUAUUAGCUAGAUGGUGGGGUAACGGCUCACCAUGGCAAUGAUACGUAGCCGACCUGAGAGGGUAAUCGGCCACAUUGGGACUGAGACACGGCCCAAACUCCUACGGGAGGCAGCAGUAGGGAAUCUUCCACAAUGGACGAAAGUCUGAUGGAGCAACGCCGCGUGAGUGAAGAAGGGUUUCGGCUCGUAAAACUCUGUUGUUAAAGAAGAACAUAUCUGAGAGUAACUGUUCAGGUAUUGACGGUAUUUAACCAGAAAGCCACGGCUAACUACGUGCCAGCAGCCGCGGUAAUACGUAGGUGGCAAGCGUUGUCCGGAUUUAUUGGGCGUAAAGCGAGCGCAGGCGGUUUUUAAGUCUGAUGUGAAAGCCUUCGGCUCAACCGAAGAAGUGCAUCGGAAACUGGGAAACUUGAGUGCAGAAGAGGACAGUGGAACUCCAUGUGUAGCGGUGAAAUGCGUAGAUAUAUGGAAGAACACCAGUGGCGAAGGCGGCUGUCUGGUCUGUAACUGACGCUGAGGCUCGAAAGUAUGGGUAGCAAACAGGAUUAGAUACCCUGGUAGUCCAUACCGUAAACGAUGAAUGCUAAGUGUUGGAGGGUUUCCGCCCUUCAGUGCUGCAGCUAACGCAUUAAGCAUUCCGCCUGGGGAGUACGGCCGCAAGGCUGAAACUCAAAGGAAUUGACGGGGGCCCGCACAAGCGGUGGAGCAUGUGGUUUAAUUCGAAGCUACGCGAAGAACCUUACCAGGUCUUGACAUACUAUGCAAAUCUAAGAGAUUAGACGUUCCCUUCGGGGACAUGGAUACAGGUGGUGCAUGGUUGUCGUCAGCUCGUGUCGUGAGAUGUUGGGUUAAGUCCCGCAACGAGCGCAACCCUUAUUAUCAGUUGCCAGCAUUAAGUUGGGCACUCUGGUGAGACUGCCGGUGACAAACCGGAGGAAGGUGGGGAUGACGUCAAAUCAUCAUGCCCCUUAUGACCUGGGCUACACACGUGCUACAAUGGAUGGUACAACGAGUUGCGAACUCGCGAGAGUAAGCUAAUCUCUUAAAGCCAUUCUCAGUUCGGAUUGUAGGCUGCAACUCGCCUACAUGAAGUCGGAAUCGCUAGUAAUCGCGGAUCAGCAUGCCGCGGUGAAUACGUUCCCGGGCCUUGUACACACCGCCCGUCACACCAUGAGAGUUUGUAACACCCAAAGUCGGUGGGGUAACCUUUUAGGAACCAGCCGCCUAAGGUGGGACAGAUGAUUAGGGUG
rnacentral:rRNA from 3 species